rnacentral:rRNA from 1 species
GAAGCCGGAAUUGCUAGUAAUGGCAGGUCAGCAUACUGCCGUGAAUACGUUCCCGGGCCUUGUACACACCGCCCGUCACACCAUGAGAGUUGGGAAUACCCGAAGCCUGUGAGCUAACAUUUAUGAGGCAGCAGUCGAAGGUAGAAUCAAUGAUUGGGGUGAAGUCGUAACAAGGUAAC